GAUGAACGCUGGCGGCGUGCCUAAUACAUGCAAGUCGAGCGAACAGACGAGGAGCUUGCUCCUCUGACGUUAGCGGCGGACGGGUGAGUAACACGUGGAUAACCUACCUAUAAGACUGGGAUAACUUCGGGAAACCGGAGCUAAUACCGGAUAAUAUAUUGAACCGCAUGGUUCAAUAGUGAAAGACGGUUUUGCUGUCACUUAUAGAUGGAUCCGCGCCGCAUUAGCUAGUUGGUAAGGUAACGGCUUACCAAGGCAACGAUGCGUAGCCGACCUGAGAGGGUGAUCGGCCACACUGGAACUGAGACACGGUCCAGACUCCUACGGGAGGCAGCAGUAGGGAAUCUUCCGCAAUGGGCGAAAGCCUGACGGAGCAACGCCGCGUGAGUGAUGAAGGUCCUCGGAUCGUAAAACUCUGUUAUUAGGGAAGAACAAAUGUGUAAGCAACUAUGCACGUCUUGACGGUACCUAAUCAGAAAGCCACGGCUAACUACGUG
rnacentral:rRNA from 1 species